rnacentral:rRNA from 1 species
UACGUAGGGUGCAAGCGUUGUCCGGAAUUAUUGGGCGUAAAGAGCUCGUAGGCGGUCUGUCGCGUCUGCUGUGAAAACCUGGGGCUUAACCCCGGGCCUGCAGUGGGUACGGGCAGACUAGAGUGUGGUAGGGGAGACUGGAAUUCCUGGUGUAGCGGUGAAAUGCGCAGAUAUCAGGAGGAACACCGGUGGCGAAGGCGGGUCUCUGGACGGUUUCUGACGCUAAGACGCGAAAGCGUGGGGAGCAAACAGG